UACGUAGGGUGCGAGCGUUAAUCGGAAUUACUGGGCGUAAAGCGUGCGCAGGCGGUUCGUUGUGUCGGUGGUGAAAUCCCCGGGCUUAACCUGGGAAUGGCCAUGGAAACUGGCGAACUGGAGUGCGGCAGAGGGGGGUGGAAUUCCGCGUGUAGCAGUGAAAUGCGUAGAGAUGCGGAGGAACACCGAUGGCGAAGGCAGCCCCCUGGGCUAGCACUGACGCUCAGGCACGAAAGCGUGGGAAGCAAACAGG
rnacentral:rRNA from 1 species